rnacentral:rRNA from 1 species
AAAUUGAAGAGUUUGAUCAUGGCUCAGAUUGAACGCUGGCGGCAGGCCUAACACAUGCAAGUCGAACGGUAACAGGAAGCAGCUUGCUGCUUUGCUGACGAGUGGCGGACGGGUGAGUAAUGUCUGGGAAACUGCCCGAUGGAGGGGGAUAACUACUGGAAACGGUAGCUAAUACCGCAUAACGUCGCAAGACCAAAGAGGGGGACCUUAGGGCCUCUUGCCAUCGGAUGUGCCCAGAUGGGAUUAGCUAGUAGGUGGGGUAACGGCUCACCUAGGCGACGAUCCCUAGCUGGUCUGAGAGGAUGACCAGCCACACUGGAACUGAGACACGGUCCAGACUCCUACGGGAGGCAGCAGUGGGGAAUAUUGCACAAUGGGCGCAAGCCUGAUGCAGCCAU